rnacentral:rRNA from 1 species
GAUGAACGCUGGCGGCGUGCCUAAUACAUGCAAGUCGAGCGAACGGACGAUAAGCUUGCUUCUCUGAUGUUAGCGGCGGACGGGUGAGUAACACGUGGAUAACCUACCUAUAAGACUGGGAUAACUUCGGGAAACCGUAUCUAAUACCGGAUAAUAUUUUGAACCGCAUGGUUCAAAAGUUAAAGACGGUCUUCCUGUCACUUAUAGAUGGAUCCGCGCUGCAUUAGCUAGUUGGUAAGGUAACGGCUUACCAAGGCAACGAUGCAUAGCCGACCUGAGAGGGUGAUCGGCCACACUGGAACUGAGACACGGUCCAGACUCCUACGGGAGGCAGCAGUAGGGAAUCUUCGGCAAUGGGCGAAAGCCUGACGGAGCAACGCCGCGUGAGUGAUGAAGGUCUUCGGAUCGUAAAACUCUGUUAUUAGGGAAGAACAUAUGUGUAAGUAACUGUGCACAUCUUGACGGUACCUAAUCAGAAAGCCCCGGCUAACUACGUG